UACGAAGGGGGCGAGCGUUGUUCGGAUUUACUGGGCGUAAAGGGCGCGUAGGCGGCCCACCAAGUCAGGCGUGAAAGCCCCGGGCUCAACCUGGGAACGGCGCUUGGGACUGAUGGGCUGGAGUUCGGGAGAGGAGAGUGGAAUUCCCAGUGUAGAGGUGAAAUUCGUAGAUAUUCGCAAGAACACCAGUGGCGAAGGCGGCUCACUGGCCCAUAACUGACGCUGAGGCACGAAAGCGUGGGGAGCAAACAGG
rnacentral:rRNA from 1 species